CGAUGAACCACUUCGGUGGGGAUUAGUGGCGAACGGGUGAGUAACACGUGGGCAAUCUGCCCUGCACUCUGGGACAAGCCCUGGAAACGGGGUCUAAUACCGGAUACGAGUCUCCAAGGCAUCUUGGAGACUGUAAAGCUCCGGCGGUGCAGGAUGAGCCCGCGGCCUAUCAGCUUGUUGGUGAGGUAAUGGCUCACCAAGGCGACGACGGGUAGCCGGCCUGAGAGGGCGACCGGCCACACUGGGACUGAGACACGGCCCAGACUCCUACGGGAGGCAGCAGUGGGGAAUAUUGCACAAUGGGCGAAAGCCUGAUGCAGCGACGCCGCGUGAGGGAUGACGGCCUUCGGGUUGUAAACCUCUUUCAGCAGGGAAGAAGCGAAAGUGACGGUACCUGCAGAAGAAGCGCCGGCUAACUACGUGCCAGCAGCCGCGGUAAUACGUAGGGCGCGAGCGUUGUCCGGAAUUAUUGGGCGUAAAGAGCUCGUAGGCGGCUUGUCACGUCGGUUGUGAAAGCCCGGGGCUUAACCCCGGGUCUGCAGUCGAUACGGGCAGGCUAGAGUUCGGUAGGGGAGAUCGGAAUUCCUGGUGUAGCGGUGAAAUGCGCAGAUAUCAGGAGGAACACCGGUGGCGAAGGCGGAUCUCUGGGCCGAUACUGACGCUGAGGAGCGAAAGCGUGGGGAGCGAACAGGAUUAGAUACCCUGGUAGUCCACGCCGUAAACGGUGGGCACUAGGUGUGGGCAACAUUCCACGUUGUCCGUGCCGCAGCUAACGCAUUAAGUGCCCCGCCUGGGGAGUA
rnacentral:rRNA from 1 species